rnacentral:rRNA from 1 species
GACGAACGCUGGCGGCGUGCUUAACACAUGCAAGUCGAACGGAAAGGCCCUGCUUUUGUGGGGUGCUCGAGUGGCGAACGGGUGAGUAACACGUGAGUAACCUGCCCUUGACUUUGGGAUAACUUCAGGAAACUGGGGCUAAUACCGGAUAGGAGCUCCUGCUGCAUGGUGGGGGUUGGAAAGUUUCGGCGGUUGGGGAUGGACUCGCGGCUUAUCAGCUUGUUGGUGGGGUAGUGGCUUACCAAGGCUUUGACGGGUAGCCGGCCUGAGAGGGUGACCGGCCACAUUGGGACUGAGAUACGGCCCAGACUCCUACGGGAGGCAGCAGUGGGGAAUAUUGCACAAUGGGCGGAAUCCUGAUGCAGCAACGCCGCGUGCGGGAUGACGGCCUUCGGGUUGUAAACCGCUUUCGCCUGUGACGAAGCGUGAGUGACGGUAAUGGGUAAAGAAGCACCGGCUAACUACGUG